AUUGAACGCUGGCGGCCUGCUUUACACAUGCAAGUCGAACGGUAACAGGUUAGGCUGACGAGUGGCGAACGGGUGAGUAAUGCAUCGGAACGUGCCCGGUCGUGGGGGAUAACGCAGCGACAGCUGCGCUAAUACCGCAUACGAACUGAGGCUGAAAGCGGGGGACCGUAAGGCCUCGCGCGAUCGGAGCAGCCGAUGUCAGAUAAGGUAGUUGGUGGGGUAAAGGCUGACCAAGCAAACGAUCUGUAGCUGGUCUGAGAGGACGACCAGCCACACUGGGCCUGAGACAAGGCCCAGACUCCUACGGGAGGCAGCAGUGGGGAAUUUUGGACAAUGGGCGAAAGCCCGAUCCAGCAAUGCCGCGUGCAGGAAGAAGGCCUUCGGGUUGUAAACUGCUUUUGUACGGAGCGAAAAGGUCUCCCCUAAUACAGGGGGCUCAUGACGGUACCGUAAGAAUAAGCACCGGCUAACUACGUGCCAGCAGCCGCCGCCG
rnacentral:rRNA from 1 species